AUCACUUCUUGGCCUUUUUGCUGAAAUCAAGUAUAGAAUCUAGUCUUAUCAUUUUACUACAUGCUGCAAGCUCCAUCCUAGCACAAUGUAUUAAAUGGGCAGUGGGUGGAAUAGGAGCUUACUUUUCUACUCCAAGCACUUACCUGAUAUUGCAAUAUCUUCAGGAAUGAUGCAUUCCUC
rnacentral:snRNA from 1 species